GGGCCCGCACAAGCGGUGGAUUAUGUGGUUUAAUUCGAAGCAACGCGCAGAACCUUACCUAGGCUUGAAAUCCUGCGAACCCGACGUAAUUGUUGGGGUGCCCGCAAGGGAAUGCAGUGACAGGUGCUGCAUGGCUGUCGUCAGCUCGUGUUGUGAAAUGUUGGGUUAAGUCCCGCAACGAGCGCAACCCUCGUCCUAUGUUGCCAGCACGUAAUGGUGGGAACUCAUGGGAUACUGCCGGGGUCAACUCGGAGGAAGGUGGGGAUGACGUCAAAUCAUCAUGCCCCUUAUGUCUUGGGCUUCACGCAUGCUACAAUGGCCGGUACAGAGGGCUGCAAUACCGCAAGGUGGAGCGAAUCCCAAAAAGCCGGUCUCAGUUCGGAUUGAGGUCUGCAACUCGACCUCAUG
rnacentral:rRNA from 1 species